UGAACAUGCCUGAUCUCAUCUGGUCUCGGAAGCUAAGCA
ensembl:rRNA 5S_rRNA 5S ribosomal RNA